UGCGUAGGCGGCAGCACAAGUCAGAUGUGAAAGCCCGAUGCUCAACAUCGGGACUGCAUUUGAAACUGUGCAGCUAGAGUACAGGAGAGGUAAGUGGAAUUCCUAGUGUAGCGGUGAAAUGCGUAGAUAUUAGGAAGAACACCAGUGGCGAAGGCGGCUUACUGGACUGUAACUGACGCUGAGGCACGAAAGCGUGGGGAGCGAACA
rnacentral:rRNA from 1 species